rnacentral:rRNA from 1 species
CCUACGGGAGGCAGCAGUGGGGAAUAUUGCACAAUGGGGGAAACCCUGAUGCAGCGACGCCGCGUGAGCGAUGAAGUAUCUCGGUAUGUAAAGCUCUAUCAGCAGGGAAGAAAAUGACGGUACCUGACUAAGAAGCCCCGGCUAACUACGUGCCAGCAGCCGCGGUAAUACGUAGGGGGCAAGCGUUAUCCGGAUUUACUGGGUGUAAAGGGAGCGUCGACGGUCCUGCAAGCCAGAUGUGAAAGCCCGGGGCUCAACCCCGGGACUGCAUUUGGAACUGUAAGGCUGGAGUGUCGGAGAGGCAUGCGGAAUUCCUAGUGUAGCGGUUAAAUGCGUAGAUAUUAGGAGGAACACCAGUGGCGAAGGCGGCCUGCUGGACUAUGACUGACGUUGAGGCUCGAAAGCGUGGGGAGCAAACAGGAUUAGAUACCCGGGUAGUC